GUCCCACCUGGGCCGCGCCUGAGCUCACCAGGACCCUUCCCGCCGAGGCGCUGGCCCGGAGCUCCCGCUGGAACGCCGGGAUCCGCCCGGGACCUGUCCGAGCUCCAGCACCGCGGCCGAGAGGAACUGGAGAUGUCACCAGGGGGGACACCAGGUCCUCGUCCCCUCCUCUGUUUGAGGCUCAGCCCUGGCACAUUCCUUCAUCCAACCAAGGAUCCGACACGGAAUAAGGGAGGAUCCAGAGUAUCCUUCAUCCAAGCAGAAGAGAAAUUUAUCCACCUGCCACUGGGGAAACGACAGGAAAGUUCCUGCUGGGUUUGGGAUCUGAACCUGUUUCCCCGUAGCUGGUGCUGCAUUCCCUUUUCCUCCCGGAUACAUCCGGAAUUCCCAGAAUUUUCCCCAUGGAGACGCUUCCUUAGAUCCUUGCCGGAGCUGCUGGCCCUCAUGGGAGGUUGCCUGUGGAUCGUUUGGACAUCCUGGGGCACAUCCCACGGAAAACCUGGAGACAGAAUUCCUUUCUGGGGUUAAAGCAAUUCCAUCUUUCCCACUUAGCGAGAAGGAGAUCAAAUCCCACGCUCCGGCUUUGCGCCUGGAUCCGCGAGGAGCUGGAAUUCGUCGUUUACGAGAUUGGGAGUCCCCUGCCCUCCCUCUCAUUGGUCUUUCCUGCGGUUUUCCCAGAAUUCCAAGAAGAAUUCCCAGAAAAUGGAACAAAGAGCAGUUUUUGAGGAUCAGGGGAUUGAAAGCACGAAAGAACUUUAAUCCAUCCCAGAGCGCUGGCACAAAACAGAACCUUUCCACACUUUGGGAAGCGCAGGAAUCCUCAUCAUCUCCGGACAAAAAUCACAUUUCAGAGGAAAUUCCAACCAACCAAUCACGGAGCCACGGAAUUAUUAAGGAUGGAAAAGACCUUUUAGAUCCCCAAAUCCAGCACCACGCCCAUAUCCCUUAAACCACGCCCACAGCCUUUCCAGGAAUGGCGAUUCCAUUCGGUGGAAUGAAGAUUCCGUUUUUUUCCAUGAAGAAAUUGCUCCCAUUAUCCCACCUCAUCCUCCCCUGCUGCAACUCCAGGCCGUUUCCAUGUGGAUUAGGAGGAAACUUUAUGCAGGAUUACAUAAAAUUACCCAGGAGAACAGAAUGAUGGAUUUUGAUUAGGAAAGUGAAAUUUUGGGAAUUUAAAGUGAGGUGGAGCAAACCAAAACAUUCCCCGGAGUUUCAAAUCUCUCCUCACCAGCCUUUAUUUUUAUUUUUUUAUGUAGGAAACCAAGUUCAACCAAUUGCUCUGUGGGUACUUCCUUGGCUUCCUAAAUCCAAAAUUUUUUUUGUUUCCAUUAGGCAGCAGUUGAGGGUUAGAUCCACGUCCCAAACACGGAAAUUAUGUCAGUGGUUUAUCUUUUCCCAGCAAUUUUCCCUGGAAUUGUACAAUUCCCAGGAUCUGAGUGGGUGAGUCUUGGACAGGCUCUGUGCCUUUGCUGCAUCUUAAGCGCUCACUGCGCAUUUUAAAGCUUAAACCUUCUCUGAUUUAUAAUUUUAUAUAUAUAUAUUUUUUUUUGUAUUUAUGAUGCUGUAAAAUAAUAAAAAGAAAUGUCCAGGAAGGUGUUGAGCCA
ensembl:lncRNA